rfam:Aedes albopictus isolate Foshan contig43471, whole genome shotgun sequence.
GAUAGCCUAGUGGUUAAGGCUACGGAUCGCCAAUCCGGAGACGCCGGGUUCGAUUCCCGAUC